rnacentral:rRNA from 1 species
CUGCUAUCGGGGUUCGACUAAGCCAUGCGAGUCGAGAGGGGUAAGCCCUCGGCGAACUGCUCAGUAACACGUGGAUAACCUGCCCUGAGGAGGGGGAUAACUCCGGGAAACUGGGGAUAAUACCCCAUAGGUUACCGAAGCUGGAAUGCUCGGUAACCCAAAGCUCCGGCGCCUCAGGAUGGGUCUGCGGCCGAUUAGGUUGUUGUUGGGGUAACGGCCCAACAAGCCUGUAAUCGGUACGGGUUGUGAGAGCAAGAGCCCGGAGAUGGAUUCUGAGACAUGAAUCCAGGCCCUACGGGGCGCAGCAGGCGCGAAAACUUUACAAUGCGAGCAAUCGUGAUAAGGGAACCCCGAGUGCCUGUACACACAGGCUGUUCAGGUGUUUAAAACACAUCUGGAGAAAGGGCCGGGCAAGACCGGUGCCAGCCGCCGCGGUAAUACCGGCGGCUCGAGUGGUGGCCACUAUUACUGGGCUUAAAGCGUCCGUAGCUGGGCUGUU